AUGGCAAAGACAGCAGCUGGCUCCAACUCCUGUUUAGAUACUCGUUGGAGGCCUUCGUUGAAUGAAAGAAGAAGAUCCAUUAAAAGAGCCUUCAAAAAUCUCAUUUUCAAGUUACAUGGCAAAUUCAGAUACCACCUACAUAAGGAUCAUGAGAAAUGCUCCAAGAAGCAGCAUCCAGUUAUGCUCAUUUUCUACAUUUCUGCUUUGGAUGUACUCUUCUUUGGCACCUGUCUGCCACUUCCAUGGAAGUGUGGCUGCAGUACGUUCCCUUUUCAUUUCCUUGCUGCUAGGUCAGGCUGCAAAAUAAAGACUAAGAUGACAAUAAAAUCUCCAGUGGAAAUAAAACAAAAGGGAGACAACAUGAAAAGGACUUAAAAAUGAAAGGAUACAAAAACACAGUGCAUAAAGGAUGAACGAGUUGAAAGGAUUAUGGAAUUAAGGAAAAUGUGAUAAUGUAACCCUAGAAAAAGAAAUGUUUUCAAUAAAAAGUCAGAGGGAAGUAGAUUACAAAGGAAAAAAAUUAUUGGUGAGGAAAGGAGGAUUUUUGUAAAAGCAAGUUUCAUCACCUAAGAAGAAUUUUCAGGCAAAAACUAUUACAUUUUACUAUAAUUAUGAGACAAAGUUUAUAACUAAACCAAGACACUAUAAAAUAAACAAUAGAGAAGGCAAAACACAUUUUCUCUUUUCUCUUCAUAAACUGUGAAUUUGGAACUAGCUCCCAACUCAGCUUUAGCGGAUGCUGUAACAUUAAUGGACGCUGACCAUUUAGUGAAGAAGUGAAUCUACUGUCUAUUCCACAGAACAAAGCUGUCUUCCCAGAGCAAUGUAAACGAUCGACCAUGAAUGUGUUUUAUAACAACCAUGUGGGUUAUGGAAAGUGAACAGAACUUAGCAUUGAAGUUGUAUAAACUUUAGCAGGUUUUUAAUCUGUGAUCAGAGAUAUUGACAUUUUCUCGAAAUCUCCAUGUAUAAACCAUACUGUGCUUAUAAUAGAAAGUGAUUAGCUAUAAAGAACCAGACAUAUGUAAGGUGGUGUGCAUAAGUCCACUGGUAAUUCCAAUUUCCAGACACUGAAUAGUAGAAUUUAUGGUUAGGAAAGUCUGAUGGAAUUUGGUUGUGAGAUGAUAAUAUCAGAACUGCUUGGAAUGUUGAAAUUUAUCAGUCAUUGAAAUUUUCCUCCCUUGAAUUAGGGAAACACGUAUAUGGCUCAAAAUUCAACAUAUGCAAAAGGAUAAUUAGUAAAAUGUUCAUGAGCUGAUUUCCCCACCACCCUUUUUUUUUUUUUUUUUUUUUAAGAUGGAGUUUCACUCCAUCACCCAGGCUGGAGUGCAGUGGCGUGAUCUCGGCUCACUGCAACCUCCGCCUGCUGGGCUCAAGCAAUUCUCCUGCCUCAGCCUCCUGGGUAGUUGGGAUUACAGGCUCCCACUGCCAUACUGCUAAGGUUUUUGUGUUUUUAGUAGAGAUGGGGUUUCAUCAUGUUGGCCAGGCUGGUGUCAAACUUCUGACCUCAAGUGAUCUACCUGCCUUGGCCUCCCAAAGGACUGGGAUUACUAGUGUGAGCCACCAUGCCUUGCCAAUUUCCCCCUUUUUGAUUGAUUGAUUGAGUCAUUUGACACAUUUAUUUAUUGCAUCUACCAUGUGUAUGGCAACUCAUCUGGUGUUAGGGGCACUGCAGUCCUUACUCUGGAAGGUUUCAUUUCCCAGAGGCAACUGUUGAUACCUGUUUCUUGUGUAUCAUUCUAGAUAUUGCAUAUAUCUGCCCAUACACAAAUACAUACAUCCUCUAAAAAAUGUUAUGCACUGAAUGCUUGUGUCUCUCCCAAAUUUAUAUGUUGAAAUCCUAACCUCCAAUGUGAUGAUAUUAGGAGGCAGGGCCUUUAGAAGGCAAUUAGGUCAUGCAGGUGGGGCCCUCAAGAAUGGAAUUAGUGCCCUUAUAACGAGACACAUGAGAGCUUGCACUCUGUCUCUCUGCUUUGCCAUGGAAGCAUGUAACCAGAAGACGGCCAUCUGUAAACCAGGAAGUGGGCCCUGGUUAACAAGAUACUGGAUCUGCCUGCACCUUGCCCUUGAACUUCUUAGCCUCUAGACUGUGAGAAAUAAAUGUUUGUUGUUGAAGCCACCCAGUCCAUGGUAAUUUGUUAUAGUAGCCAGAACUAAACAAAACAUUUUACAUAUAGUAUAUUUAGCAAGUGCUAUGAUAGUCGACAUUUAGUAUCCAGUGGGAUUUUUUCUACUCAGAAAAAAAUCAGUGUUGCACUCAGAGCCUCCCCUAACAGUUGUGGUGCUUAGGGCAAGAGUAUAAAUGGAGCCCCCACACAAGGUGUCUGAGCUAUGAAUCAAGCUCAAAGUUAGGAAUCAAGCUCACAAACUGGAAACUAAAAUAUGUCCUAUCCCUUUACAUUGACAAAUAUAUUUGUCAAAAUGGAAAUGAAAAAAUGUGCAUAGAGCUAUAAUUUUACACAACUGAACACUGUCAAAAUAUAGACGACUAAGCUUAAUUGUUACUGUAGAUGUCUGGGUAUUCUGGCAAUGAACUACCAAUAUUUGGAUUAACAAUAAAGCGUGUAAUUAACAAUUUAUUAUAUAAUCUAUAAAACUUCUCAACUUAAUUUUAAGAAAAUUAUUACAUUAUUAUAGUCGAGAUUUUAAUAUACUUGUGUUCUAUUGACAAUAAUGAUUUUUGGAUAAAAAAUGUAAUUGAGGCCCACACAGUGGCUCAGUUCUGUAAUCUCAGCACUUUGGGAGGCUGAGGCAGGAAAACUGCUUGGGCCCAGGAGUUCAAGACCAGCCUGGACAGCAUAGGAGGACCUCAUCUCUACCAAAAAAAAAAAAAAAAAAAAGUUAGCUGAGUGUGCUGAUGUGCACCUGUGGUCCCAGUUGCUCAGGAGGCUGAGGUGGGAGAAUUGCUUGAGCCUGAGAGGUUGAGGCUGUGGUGAACCAUGGUAGUGCCACUGUACUCCAGCUUGGGUGACAGAGCAAGAUCCUGUUUCCAGAAAAAAAAAAAAUAGUGUACAAAAUUUGUAUACAUUGUCAUCAAAAUGUAAAUAUUAAAUAAUGUAAACAUUGAUUAAAAUUAAUCUUUGUAUGUCUUCAAAGAGUUAUUUUUCUUUUACAAUAACCAUCUAAAUAAAAACUUUUAAUUUUAAAAAGGAAAAUUUUAGGCUGGGCUCGGUGGCUCACAUCUGUAAUCCCAGCACUUUGAAAGGCCAAGACAGGUGGACCACUUGAGGUCAGGAGUUCAAGACCAGCCUGGCCAGUAUGGUGAAACCCCGUCUCUACCAAAAAUACAAAAAUUAGCCGGGCGUGGUGGCAGGUGCCUGUAAUCCCAGCUACUCAGGAGGCUGAGGCAGGAGAAUGGCUUGAACCUGGGAGGCAGAGGUUGCAGUGAGCCGAGACUAUGCCACUGCACUCCAGCGUGGGUGAGAGAGUGAGAGUCCAUCUCAAAAAAAAAAAAAAAAGAAAAAAGAAAAUUUUAAUGAUGAAGUAUAAAAAAUAAAAAUUUAAAUUAGUUGAAUGCCUUAGAUAUUUAUUUUUAAAAUGUAAUUAAAUCUCAUUUAAUAUUUUAGUUAAAAUAUUAAUAUUACAUUACUAAAAUGUUUUAAUUUAAAUAAAAUCUCAUUUAGUGUAAAAAUAAAACUGUUUAGUUCUGGUGUUCAAUGUUCAUUCAGUGGCCCAGUUGUAAAGAAUCCACAUCAUAUUACAAUUAGAAGUAAUAAGUAACAUUCACUGUUUACGUUGGAAAAUGUUCCUCAACCAAUUGUUACUCAGCAGCUGCUGUGGAUACUAUCGUAAUUUGAAGAAAACCUCAAGAACAGAAAGCAAGAAAAUGUGUGAUCAGCUGUAAAGAAAGAAUGCAAGACUCUAUUGCAGGCCGGGUGCGGUGGCUCACACCUGUAAUCCCAGCACUUUGGGAGACUGAGGUGGGUGGAUCAGCUGAGGUCAGGAGUUUGAGACCAGCCUGGCCAGUAUGGUGAAACCCCGUCUCUACUGAAAAUACAAAAAUUAGCCAGGCGUGGCAGUGCGUGCCUAUAAUUCCAGCUACUUGGGAGGCUGAGGCAGGAGAAUCACUUGAACCCUGGAGGCGGAAGUUGCAGUGAGCCAAGAUUGCACCACUGCACUCCAGGCUAGGCGACAGAGUGAGACUCCAUCUCAAGUUGGGGCGCGGAAAAAUCUAUUGCGUUCCUGCUGAGAAGAUUGGACAAGUUAAUUAAUUUGUCUUUGCUCUUGCCUGAAUGUUUCCAUAGCUUACAUUUUUCCUGCUCUUCAAAGCAGUGGUUAUUUCUUCCCUGUAGUGGCGAAACCCACAAAUUUCCAUAGUAUUUGUACACAGUUACCUUUUAUUUUGAGGAUAUAGUGCAAAAAAUGUGGAGAAGUUUUUCCUUGGGACCUGAAUGGUGUUUGGCGUGUGAAUAGAUGUUUAGGAUUACAAUUUGUGCCAUGUUGUGCUAAGUGCCAGAUCUUGUGUGACAAAGGUGCCUUGUGCUCUUUAAUUGACUUACUGUGUGUGUGAUAAAUAGGGCCUUCUCAAACAGUCCAAAAGGACACUUUUUGCCCCUGUCAAAGGGAUGGUACUGUGGUGAAUAUCUCUGAACAUACAGCAUUUAAUUUAUGGUGGUUGCAGGAUCGAUUUCUUAAAAAUCCAAUUGUGUUAAACUGUAUAGAUAUUUUAAGUGCUGAUAGAUAUUACCAGAUUGUUCGCCUUAGUGGUUGUGGCAAUUUACAAUUUCAUUAGAAAUGUUAGAGAAUGGCUAUUUCCCCACAUCCUUGUUAAGAGUGCUUUGUCAAACAUUACAGAUCUUUGCCCAUCUGUUAGGUGAAAAAUAAUAUAGAGCUGCAGUUUGAAUUUACAUUUCUCUUAUCAUGGAUAAGGUGAGCAGUUUUUCAUGUAUUUACGUUGCU
rnacentral:lncRNA from 1 species